CCAAGCGGCUCACACUUGCACAAUGACAGCAGACAAUGUGUUUUGAAUUUUCCCUCUGCAUAAAGAGGGACUGACCUAGCAGCCUGAAGAGGCGCUGGCUUAAUGACAGCACUGAGGAGCAUCUCCCUAGCACUCUUCCCCUGUCAGCAGCCAGACGGCAACCAACCAUGUUCCCGUGGCUUCUGCAGUGCACUCCAGCGAGUGCAGCCGUUACGCAGGUCCGCCAGUGACUGGCAGCACGCAAACUUCCCGAGAGGCAAUGUCAUGUUAGGAUUCCUGUUAAGAGCCUAGGGAGACCACUAACCAGGAAAAGGAGUAGGAAGAUGCUGUAAGAAGCAGAUACCUGACAGAGAUGGAGAAGUCACCAUGAGAGUUCUGACUGGCUCGGACAAUGAAGGAACCAAUUCCUUUGCUCAUAAGGUUGUUCUCUGCUUCGUGGCGGGAUAUCCUCUCAUCAAACCAGCUGUUAAGUGGGAAAAAAUCAAGGAAACUUGAAUAAGGAGUUGAACUAAGGUAAGGAAUAGAAAAGCUGAGGGUAGGGAGAAUAUGAAAAAGCAGGGUGGAGGAAAGAAAAAAGAAACAGAUCAGAGGAUCCUACAUGAAUAUUCACGCUGGCCACAUACAUACUAAGGUACAGGGUUAUGAUGGAUGCAGACCAUUUUCUCUGAGCAAUAAAAGCACAUAGGUGCAAAGAGAACAAUGUAAGCUUUGGCCUAUUAAGAAGCAACACUCAGCUAAAAGUCUAAUUACAGGCAGAGUACAGUAAAGUGUUAAAGCAAUUUUAAAUUACAAAUGUGCAUGUAUAUACACAUACACAUAUCAUUCUCAGACAUAUACAUCAAAUAGCUUUUGGUAAACUGAUUGAAAAUUACUGGACUGUGAUGGAUGUAUUGCACGGAACAAACAUAAAUUUUUAAUAGAAGCGAGGCAUGAAAGUUUCACUGCUAAUAAAUUGACUCUUGCAAGAGUUAUAAUACCAUGAAAAUCACAGAAACACAGAAUGUAUAAGCAUUUAUGUAAAUUUAGCCAGACAGAACAAACUGCUAGUAUAAGUCACUGGGCAUAUAAUGAAGAAAGUCACCAUAAAUGGUAAAAUAAUACAGUGGCAAAUGCAACUUGUAAGUUGAGAAAAAAAAUCAU